rnacentral:rRNA from 1 species
CCUACGGGAGGCAGCAGUCGAGAAUCAUUCACAAUGGGGGAAACCCUGAUGGUGCGACGCCGCGUGGGGGAAUGAAGGUCUUCGGAUUGUAAACCCCUGUCAUGUGGGAGCAAAUUAAAAAGAUAGUACCACAAGAGGAAGAGACGGCUACCUCUGUGCCAGCAGCCGCGGUAAUACAGAGGUCUCAAGCGUUGUUCGGAAUCACUGGGCGUAAAGCGUGCGUAGGCUGUUUCGUAAGUCGUGUGUGAAAGGCGCGGGCUCAACCCGCGGACGGCACAUGAUACUGCGAGACUAGAGUAAUGGAGGGGGAACCGGAAUUCUCGGUGUAGCAGUGAAAUGCGGAGAUAUCGAGAGGAACACUCGUGGCGAAGGCGGGUUCCUGGACAUUAACUGACGCUGAGGCACGAAGGCCAGGGGAGCGAAAGGGAUUAGAUACCCCAGUAGUC